rnacentral:rRNA from 1 species
AACGAACGCUGGCGGCAGGCUUAACACAUGCAAGUCGAUCGGUAACAGGUGUAGCAAUACAUGCUGACGAGAGGCGGACGGGUGAGGAAUAUUUGGGAAUCUGCCCAUCAGCGGGGGACAACCCGGGGAAACCCGGGCUAAUACCGCAUACGCUCUACGGAGGAAAGCCGGGGACCGCAAGGCCUGGCACUGAUGGAUGAGCCCAAAUCGGAUUAGCUAGUUGGCGGGGUAACGGCCCACCAAGGCGACGAUCCGUAGCUGGUCUGAGAGGACGAUCAGCCACACCGGAACUGAGACUCGGUCCGGACUCCUACGGGAGGCAGCAGUGGGGAAUAUUGGACAAUGGGGGAAACCCUGAUCCAGCGACGCCGUGUGGGUGAAGAAGGCCUGCGGGUUGUAAAGCCCUUUCGGUAGGGACGAAAGCUCUUGCUCUAACAAAGCAGGAGGUUGACUUAACCUACAUAAGAAGCACCGGCUAACUCUGUGCCAGCCGCCGCAGUAAGAC